GUCCUAGUUCUCUAGGACAUAUACUAAAAUUGGAACGAUACAGAGAAGAUUAGCAUGGCCCCUGCGCAAAAGAAGGGAGCCAAUCUUCU
rnacentral:snRNA from 1 species